UCAGUGUUCCCACCAGCUAUGAAAAAAAAUUAAGAUUGUGUUUAUAUCUUAAAUCCAGAGGGUAAACUACAAAUUGAAAGACUCCACCAAUCACCUCCCAGAAAAUCUCCCAGGAAUAUCUUGGAAAAAUUCUAGAGAUCCCAGGUCAGAGAGGAAAUACUUCAAACAACCAUCAAGAAAUAAUUCAAAUAUCAUGGUGCCAUUUUCACAUUUAAGGAGAAGAAGGCAUGGAAUAUGAUAUAUCAGAAGACAAAGAAGUGGUACACAAGAGAAGAGACUGAGGACAUGAACUCCAGACUAUAGUAACUCCUCAAAGUGAAUGGAGUCUUGUCAUCAAGGUAGUCCUCAGGCUGAACUCAUCAGCCAAACACCUGUACUUUUGAGCCAGAAAAUAGGAAGAAAGAUGGGGCGGAGUCAAGAUGGCAGCUUAGCAAGCAGCAAAAGUUCAGACCUCCUGGAAGACCCUUCCUUACCGAUACAGACUGAAUGCUCCUAG
rnacentral:lncRNA from 1 species